GAUGAACGCUGGCGGCGUGCCUAACACAUGCAAGUCGAACGAAGCGCCUUUUAAGAUUCUUCGGAUGAUUGAUCGGUGACUGAGUGGCGGACGGGUGAGUAACGCGUGGGUAACCUGCCCUGUACAGGGGGAUAACAGUUGGAAACAGCUGCUAAUACCGCAUAAGCGCACGAGAGGACAUCCUCUUGUGUGAAAAACUCCGGUGGUACAGGAUGGGCCCGCGUCUGAUUAGCUGGUUGGCAGGGUAACGGCCUACCAAGGCGACGAUCAGUAGCCGGUCUGACAGGAUGAACGGCCACAGUGGAACUGAGGCACGGUCCAAACUCCUACGGGAGGCAGCAGUGGGGAAUAUUGCACAAUGGGGGAAACCCUGAUGCAGCAACGCCGCGUGAGUGAAGAAGUAUUUCGGUAUGUAAAGCUCUGUCAGCAGGGAAGAUAAUGACGGUACCUGACUAAGAAGCUCCGGCUAAAUACGUGCCAGCCGCCGCUGUAAGAC
rnacentral:rRNA from 1 species